rnacentral:lncRNA from 1 species
CGGCGCGCUCCCGGCACCGCCCCACCCGGAGCGGCGCUGACCCCGCGGGGUCGGUUGGGCGCCCCCCCCCCCAUCCGGACGUGCCCCCCCCCCCCCGGGAUGGCGGGGGCGUCGGUGAAGGUGGCGGUUCGGGUGCGGCCGUUCAACGCCCGCGAGGAGGGGAGGGCCGCGAAAUGCGUCAUCAGAAUGGACGGGAAAACCACCUGU